rnacentral:rRNA from 1 species
AACGAACGCUGGCGGCAUGCCUAACACAUGCAAGUCGAACGAGUGCCUUCGGGUGCUAGUGGCGCACGGGUGCGUAACGCGUGGGAAUCUGCCCUUUGGUUCGGAAUAACAGUUGGAAACGACUGCUAAUACCGGAUGAUGACGAAAGUCCAAAGAUUUAUCGCCAGAGGAUGAGCCCGCGUAGGAUUAGCUAGUUGGUGUGGUAAAGGCGCACCAAGGCGACGAUCCUUAGCUGGUCUGAGAGGAUGAUCAGCCACACUGGGACUGAGACACGGCCCAGACUCCUACGGGAGGCAGCAGUGGGGAAUAUUGGACAAUGGGCGAAAGCCUGAUCCAGCAAUGCCGCGUGAGUGAUGAAGGCCUUAGGGUUGUAAAGCUCUUUUACCCGGGAUGAUAAUGACAGUACCGGGAGAAUAAGCUCCGGCUAACUCCGUGCCAGCAGCCGCGGUAAUACGGAGGGAGCUAGCGUUGUUCGGAAUUACUGGGCGUAAAGCGCACGUAGGCGGCUUUGUAAGUUAGAGGUGAAAGCCUGGAGCUCAACUCCAGAACUGCCUUUAAGACUGCAUCGCUUGAAUCCAGGAGAGGUGAGUGGAAUUCCGAGUGUAGAGGUGGAAUUCGUAGAUAUUCGGAAGAACACCAGUGGCGAAGGCGGCUCACUGGACUGGUAUUGACGCUGAGGUGCGAAAGCGUGGGGAGCAAACAGG